rnacentral:ribozyme from 1 species
GCCAUGAAACCUUGCAGUUCUUCAGAGCCAAAGCCAAAGCCAAAGCCAAUAAACAAACAAACAAACAAACAAAUAAACAGAGAUUGUUUGUUUGUUUGUUUGUUUUC